rnacentral:rRNA from 1 species
CCUACGGGGGGCAGCAGUGAGGAAUAUUGGUCAAUGGGCGCGAGCCUGAACCAGCCAAGUAGCGUGAAGGAUGACUGCCCUACGGGUUGUAAACUUCUUUUAUAAAGGAAUAAAGUGAGGCACGUGUGCCUUUUUGUAGGUACUUUAUGAAUAAGGAUCGGCUAACUCCGUGCCAGCAGCCGCGGUAAUACGGAGGAUCCGAGCGUUAUCCGGAUUUAUUGGGUUUAAAGGGAGCGUAGAUGGGUUGUUAAGUCAGUUGUGAAAGUUUGCGGCUCAACCGUAAAAUUGCAAUUGAUACUGGCAGCCUUGAGAACAGGUGAGGUAGGCGGAAUGCGCGGUGUAGCGGUGAAAUGCUUAGAUAUCACGAAGAACUCCGAUUGCGAAGGCAGCCUACUAAACUGCCUCUGACAUUGAGGCACGAAAGUGUGGGUAUCAAACAGGAUUAGAUACCCGAGUAGUC